ACGUCCUGCUCGUGAUCGUCUUCUCACCCUUCACCAGCAGGCGGCACAGGAAGGGCCUCCGGCCGGGACGACCCGGCCGGAGGCCCUUC
rnacentral:ncRNA from 1 species